AGGUCCUGCAUUAAAAAAUAAUAUUCAUCAAGAAGGUUAAUUUGAAAAGUGAAUAUAAUAGAUAGAAGACAUUGAUGGGCAAAAACUAAGCAAGACUGCCAGAAAAACCAUAUAGGACAACGAGUAAAUGGUUCAUUCAGCCACCAAAAAUAGGGCCAAAUUUCACAUGAAAUUAGGCUAGGUGAGGUUUGGGCUUGAGUAUUAAAUGCAAUUUAAAAUGGGUAAUGUUGUGGCCAUUGAAUGAUGCGCUUGACCCAAUAAAGACCUGAUAUCUCCUAGCUAUGAAAUGUAAAUUUAUGAUUAUUUUACCCACCUUAAAUCUUUAUAAAAAAGAUGGUUUCUAUUAGUUAAAAUUCUUGUGAUAUUAGUUAGAAUUAUUCUUGUUUUCAAUACUUAAAAUUAUGAUUUAUAAUUCACUACUAAUACCAUUUGUUAGUAAAACAUUUCUUUUAAAGAACAAGAAGAACGAAAACCAUGAGUCUGGACCAGGGGAUGUUGAGCCUACAAGCCUAAUAUACUUAUAGGGUCAUUCUUGUGCCUUGAUAUUUUUAGCCCAAAUGGGCAGUUGCCCAGACUAAAAGCUGUGACUUUUUAUAUGGGCCCAUCAUUAGCCUAAAAGGCCCAGAUGACAGGGCUAAACCCAUGUGCUGUUGGUUGUUAUACAAGUAGUGCAGUGUAACAUUGCAGAACUCUUCAUGACUCUUGAUUUCAUGGCUUAUAUUAUGGCAAACUACAGCUUUCUAUUUAAAUGAUGAUUUUCUCUAGUUCUAUACUAGCCAACCAUACCUCGAUUCUUCUUCUUAAUAUGAUGUUCAUCUUUUAUUCCAGCAUUGUACAAUACCUGCGAGUUGUCAGGAAUAGAGGACUCAUUAGAUGUCCUUGUUUUUCUUACGAAUUUAAGGUUUCAAUGAGCUUCAGAAACCAGAUUGUAUAUGGUGAGAUAAGAAAAUGAUGUUAGACAUCAUUCUGGACUUUGUAAAGAGGCUUGUAGGUGCAAUUCAAGUUACCUCAACUAAGCUCUCUAAUCGUGUUCUCAUCCUUCUUUGAAUGAAGCCUCGAGUGCUCUGUUCGAACUUUGUUUUAGCCUCAGCAGAAUAAAAGAAGUACAAGGUGUGUAGCUAAUACCAAAAGAGACAAAUCCUCCAUUGGUGCUCAGAUCUUCAAUGGGCUCUCCUCUCAACUCAGCUGGUGGGAUUGGAGACCAGAUGCAAUGAGGUGCUUUGACAAAUGCUUUUGAGCUUCCAAUAUCCAUGAGUUCCUG